rnacentral:lncRNA from 1 species
GCACACAUAUGUGCGCACACCAACCGGCAUCGGGAGAGCACAUGUGUACGCGCAUGCGCGGCAUUUGCGGGUUUCCAGUUUGGGGUUUCCAAAUUUGGGUUUCGUGUUUCGUGUAUUUCGGUUGAUUUUGCAUCGAGGCCUGCAUACUUUGCUAUGCACGGUUGUAUGAUGGUACUUGCAUUCUCCAUUCUACACACACACCACUGCCACCUCCGCAUGCUGUCCGCGCCGAACUGGGUCUGGGGUCGCCAACCGCGUGCCGCACGUUUGCAUACUUUUGCAUCCCAGCGCGCGCGCAUCCAAUGCAUAAUAAUUGAACUGUGCUUACCUCAUUUAUGCCGUGGGACCUAUUGUGAUGAAGCCUAGUGCUGCCUGGACCAAGAAACGCCAAUGUUUGAGGUUUAGGUGUCAACGUUGGCAUUGCAUUUUGCGAAUUGCUUGACCAACCGAGCGAUGUCCUUCCUAUAUAACCAUGCAGUCGUUCGCCACUCUACCUGCAUACAGACUCUGCUGCACAUACCAAGCAGUUCUGCUGCAACUUCACGUUCGCAACAGCCAAAUCUGUUGUCCAUAAUCCAGCAGGUACGCGCUAGUGGUGCGGUAAACCGAGCAUCGCUGUUGGUGUUGCUGUUGCUGCUGCCGCGCGCGCACGCUGCGUCCAAUAUUCAAUCCACCGCCGCCUGCUACUGCUACUCCUGCUUUCCAUUGCCAUGCUUAGCCCUGAAACGCUCGACUCCAAUUUGCAACUAACGCUCAUCCUGCUGCUUUCCACCCUCCUGCUACGUUCUGCGUGCAGCCAACGUGGUCAUCUUCGCCAACGCACACGUCCGCACACUUCUGCACCAUCAAUAGCAGGUUGGUAUGGGUGCUGCCGCUGCUGCCGUGCCUUCCGUGCGUAUGCACAACGCCUACUGCUACUGCCUGCUGCUACUCAACACACCAGCCACUGACAUUCCUGCUGUUGGUGCAUGCUCCUGUGCUCUGUUCCAGUGUGAGAUACGAACAUGCAAGCAACUGCAUCCUGCACCACUCAUACUUCCCUGCACCCACCUUCUCUCCUCGCUACGUACUGGCACUGUCAAAGUGCAGGUGCCUGUGUGGAUGACUGUGUUUUCGUUGGCGAGGUGCCUGCACAUGCACAGGUGAGCGCCUACUCCGCCAUGCACACAGCUUGCACUACUGACAACUCUCAUUGUCCUAGUGGUGCUGCUCCUACUGUCACCGCUGCCGCCACAGCUUCCAUGCAUGCGCGCCCACACAUUGUAUUCCUGUCGCUUGCCAACUGGCUCGUGCACCUUCUAUGACUCUUGCUUAAUGCGUGGUCGGCCAUGCCGCUAUCCCGCACACACGCUGCUACCACCAACACUGCUCCAUCCCU